GUAAGUGUCAGGGUUUUUGUUUGCUUUGG
rnacentral:piRNA from 1 species